UCGUUCUACCACAACAGCCGCUCCAUCUCUCCUCUCAAUUCAGUCGAGCAGCAACAACAAAAGCUAUCAUCGUCCUUCCCCGAUGGCUAAAUGCAGCAGCAGCGACUCCUCCGCCCAACUUCCGCCAUCUGCCUACAUACAAAACUCGUACUCUAAAGGGAUUUGAAGAGAAAUUGUCAAAAUUCAACUACUAUUCCUUGCAAAUGGAGAUGCUUCAGCUCUGACUUCUCAUUUUAAAGGAUUAUAAUAUAAAUGUAUUCGGAUCUUUUAAGAAUAAUAUGAACAUUCUGAUGGUGCACCUCUUCAGGAACAACUGAAAAGUACAAGGGAAAGGAAGAGAAAGUUAAAACAAUGUUUGGAUGUCACUUGUGGGAUUUGGUGCCUUGCAUAGCUAGAUUAAUUUAGAUUUUGUAAUUUGAUGUUACAUUUUUUAAUAAUAUAGUAGGUAGAUCAUUGUACGUUAAAAUAUGUAUUUCUAUAUUUGUAAUAAAAUAUAUAUUUUUUAAUUCA